rnacentral:rRNA from 1 species
CUUGCUUUCUUUGCUGGCGACCGGCGCACGGGUGAGUAACACGUAUCCAUCCUACCCUUUACUCGGGGAUAGCCUUUCGAAAGAAAGAUUAAUACCCGAUAGCAUAAUGAUUCCGCAUGGUUUCAUUAUUAAAGGAUUCCGGUAAAGGAUGGGGAUGCGUUCCAUUAGGUUGUUGGUGAGGUAACGGCUCACCAAGCCUUCGAUGGAUAGGGGUUCUGAGAGGAAGGUCCCCCACAUUGGAACUGAGACACGGUCCAAACUCCUACGGGAGGCAGCAUG